rnacentral:rRNA from 1 species
UUAGACUGGGACAACCACUGGAAACGGUGGCUAAUACCGGAUACGCCCUGAGGGGGAAAGCAGGAAUGCGCUAAGGGAGAGGCCCGCGGCAGAUUAGGUAGUUGGUGGGGUAAAGGCCUACCAAGCCUGUGAUCUGUAGCUGGUUUGAGAGGAUGAUCAGCCACACUGGGACUGAGACACGGCCCAGACUCCUACGGGAGGCAGCAGUGGGGAAUAUUGGACAAUGGGGGAAACCCUGAUCCAGCAAUGCCGCGUGAAUGAAGAAGGCCUUAGGGUUGUAAAGUUCUUUUGUCCGUGACGAUAAUGACGGUAGCGGACGAGUAAGCCCUGGCUAACUCUGUG